UUUUUUCCAUGUUUCUUUUAAGUGGCAACGACUCCAAGGUUGAGCUCACACUUCAUUUAUUUUGUUUUUAUUCUGAUCGCUUAUUGUUUAGAUUUUUACAAGUUAAUCAUAGUUAGAUAAUUUACUAAUUUUCAUAUUCCCUGUGUGAAUUUUACCCUGUUCUCUGAGUGGUUUCCGUUAGUAGGAUAUUAUUAUAGCUGUGACCGGUCAGAUGCUAACGUUUAUUUGAUUGAAGGAAAAAUGUGGAUUCGGGGUGGAGAAGGAAAGGUUUGCUUUCCACCAUGGUUGUUAUAAAUCGUGCUUUAUUGCUUAUUGCUUACCCACAACAGUUAGCUAUGGUGGGCGUUGCACUAUGCACUGUACACAUCAAAUUCAAUUAGAAAAUUUUGGUUUGGUAUAAUUAAACAUUGUGUUUAAUAAAUAUUUGGAUUUGGAUUGUGCCGUUCGCCAAUAGCAACUAUAGUGUAGUUUUCAUUGUAUGCUCUUGUAAUUAGGUCUUGGAUUUGUUAGUUUUAAGAAGAAAUAUAUGCCUCUCUCAUGAGAUUAUCAUUUAUGUUCGAGCAAUAGUCUAUGAUAUACCUGUUUGAAGAGAGUGUACUUUGUUUCAGCCCAUUAUUUGUUACAUGGAAGAAAGUGGUAAAUGGCGGCGAGCCUCGACUUCGGGGAUGUAUUGGUUCUCUAGAAGCACGCGGCUUAAUCAAUGGCUUCAAAGAUUAUGCGCUCAACAGCGCUCUCAGAGACCGCAGAUUUCCACCCAUACAGGCAAAAGAGCUUCCUACUUUGGAGUGUACAGUAUCUAUUCUUACUGAUUAUGAAAAUGCUAACGACUACCUUGAUUGGGAGGUAGGGACACAUGGUAUAAUUAUUGAAUUUACUGAUCCUGACUACAACACAAGGCGAAGUGCCACAUACCUGCCUGAAGUGGCUGCCCAUGAAGGUUGGACUAAAUUAGAGGCCAUCGAUUCCUUGAUACGCAAAGCCGGCUACAAUGGUGCAAUCACAGAGUCACUCAGGAAGCGUUUACAGCUGACCAAAUACCAAAGUACCUUAUUUACAAUGCACUACAGUGAAUAUGUUGCCUAUGUGAAGCAGGCAAGAGGUGAAGCUCCUUCUAUUCUUGGAGCCAAGUUACGCAACUAGUAUUCAUUUCAAACUAAACUUUUCCAAAAUUGCAUAGCUUCUUUGGUUAAAGAAAGAAGACUAUUUCCUAAAGAAAGGAAAAGAAAGAAAAACAGGUGCAAUUUGUUCUUUUCUCAAUUGAACCUAUUGCUAUGAUUGGUGCAACUCUUUCACAUUCUUCAAAUUCAUUUGAUUUUGAAGAAAUUAAUAACACUGGAUUCAGUUAUUUAUGAAAUAUUCAGCUCUUUUGAACUGCUUUAUGCCA